GAGGAUAUAGCUCAGUGGUAGAGCACAUGCUUAGCAUGCACAAGGUCCUGAGUUCAACCCCCAGUACCAUCA
rnacentral:tRNA from 1 species